UGUUGAGCAGUUAACAAAAUGUACAGCUGUCGAUUAGUGAUUAGUUAACAAUUUUGAGUUAGUUAGAAAGUAGUUAGUUGAUUCUUUAAUGUAAAGGAUAUAUAUAUUAGAAGGAUUAGUGCUGUUAGAGUUAGUCUUUCAGUUUUACAACGUGUAUUGUGUGAUCAUCUUGCUGAAAGGAAUCAAAGCUUUCUUUUCUCUCCAUUGUACUUUCUUCUUCUAUUCUCCAUUGUUGAUCAGUUGAUCAACUUAACAGUUCAAACUAUAUAACAUUGCCAAUGACACUUUUUUUUGUCAGUAGAGAUGUUCUUUUUAAGGAAUACAUUUUUCCUUUUCAGCAUCCCAAACACACUUUUCUAACCUCUCUUCCACCUCCUCAUUCUUCUGCAUUUCCUAGUCCUCUUUCUGCUUUUCCUCAUCCUGUAGAUGACUCUUUUCCUCAUCCUGCAGAUGACUCUUCUUAUCAUGCAGCUGACUCUUUUCCUAUUGUUUCUUCUCCUGCUCCUUCAGCCUCUUCUGAGCUCCCUUCUCCAUCUUCUCUCACUAAUUCAUCACCCAUUUCAGCUCCACAAAGAAGGUCUACUAGAGCCAUGAAACCUCCCAUUUGGCACACUGAUUAUGUCACUUCUUCCAAGUCUGUUCAUCCUAUUUUUAACUUCAUCCUUUGUUCCAAUCUCCAUUCUCCUUAUAGGUCUUAUCUCACCACUCUAUGCUCUUUUACUGAACCCUAUUCUUUUGAGCAAGCUUACAAGGAUAGUAGUACGACAACAUAAAAUAGCAGAAGUCAUACAAUAAACAUUAAAUGAAAAUUAGCACCUCGAUCUGUGAAAUAGAGUACGACCUAUAGUAAAUUUCUUUUGCAUAUUCUUCCAAAGUUCAUAAAUGAUAAAAUGGAGGUAAGAAUGCAAUAUGAUGCCAAGUAAGUGAAAAUUUCACAGUCGAGGCCUAGGGGGACUGAAAUCAUCGAUGUUUAACUUGAUGAUUUGAAACCAAAAUCUUAUCCUUCAAUAGAAUUGUUUAUAUUGUUUGUUGAAGGUGCAGAGUUCAGCUUUGUAAAGUAGUAUAGUAACCACUUCGAGAGCCAUCAUGUUUUGAACCUUUCUUGUUUCCACUGUAUUAUUUUUUUCUUAUAAUCUAUUUGAAUCUCAAUUUUCUCAGUUAUCUUUUGAAGCUAUAUUUGGAGCUACUGAAUUUAUUUCAACAUUUUUGGAGGUAAAUGAAUUUAAAAUAGAGAUUCUAAUAGAUCUACACUUAUUUUGGUUUCCUUUCUCAUUUUUCAUUUAUGUUGGUCAAUUAUUUUGCAUUAAACAAAUUCCAAAGAAAACAAGAAGUUAUAAGAAACUUUUGAAAAUGCAUCCAAAAUCCUUCUAGUGUUCUCUGAUCAACACAGAGUCUACGUUAGUUAUUACUUAUUAGGCAUGCUUUGUGAUUUUCAAUAAGGCUAUUUGUUAUCUUAUGUGUAACAGUUAUUCACUAUAGACUUUUUUGAAUAACUUUCGCAAAAUCAUGGCUAUUCCUUUGAUUAUGCAUCCCAUCCGAUCUGUUGCCUCAAUUUUUUUCAAGAGACAAUUCAUUCUCUCCUUCCUCCUUUUUGUAAUUUCUUUUCAAUUUGGUUUCUCAUUUCGCUUUCUGCUACCACUAAAGUUCCUUUCAUUUCUCUUAUGUAAUUGAUAUUUGUAACUUUCAAAAAAAAAUUCUUAUAAAAUAAAAAGAUUAGGCUCUGUAUUUCCUCAUAAAACAAAGCAUGUUUGACAUUCUGUCAGUUUCUAUGUAAAAAAUGGAUAAUCACAAGAAAUUGAUUAUCAGAAUUGUGUUUCAACUAAUAUAAUAUACACAUGUAUUGUUACUUGUGAUCAUGUGGCCUAAGUUGGUUAUUUUUAACUUUUUAUUACCACCAAGGCUCUGUACGUGAUCGAGCACAUGCAUCUUAGUGAAUUUGUAGAAAUUUGUGAGGGAUUCUUGUUUUUUCUCCUCUUUUUAUUCUGUUGUGGUUGAACUAUUACUAGAAAAUUAACUUAGCUAUCACUGGAUCACCUGCAUCUUAGUGAAUUCGUAGAAAUUUUUGAAGGAUUCGUAUUUAUUCUCUUCUCUUUUUAUUCUAUUGUGGUUGAACUACUACUAAAACUUUACUUAACUACCACAAAAUACCAUUGUGCCAUGGUCAUCAGAGGUACUACAACACCUCAUUAACAACAUUUUUAAUAUACAAUCUGCUGACAUUAGCUUUUGUAGUUCUGCACUCUAGAGCAUAAGUCGUACAAUUUAUGGAUAGAUCAGAUUAUUUAAAAUGUGUUUUAUACGUAGGAUUAGAGUCAUCUACAUUUUUUCCCUAAAUGUUUGAUUUGGUGCGACUUCUUUUUCUUGAUAUCCUAGAGUUCAAAUAGUGACUUUUAAUUGAUUUCACAAUACAAACAUAUGACAAAAUAAUGUAAACAAAUUUGAAAGUUACAUGCAACACAAAUGUUGACAAAUAAAGGCAGUGUGCUCCACGAACCUGGAAUCAUAAAUGUAGAAUAACGUGCCAAUAGAAGUAUGCUAUGUCAUACGGGAUAUGUACAAAUAAUACUAGAAAGCAACUACUUAUAUCGCAACAACUUGCUAAAGCAGCUGAAUCAUAAAGACGUGACUCUUGCAACAUUCGGCUAAUACAUUGUUUUUUUUCUGAAGUUGAAUCAUGACGGAAAUCAAAGUGUGCUUCCAACUUCUGAUCCUUUGUUAGCUAGAUGAAAGUCAAAAAAGUUAAAUUUUCACAUAAUGUCGCUUGUAUAUAAAGAUAUACCUUCAUAAAUUGAUUUACAGAAUGAUAACCUAUUACUAAAGGAAGACUCUGCAAUGUGCAACAAGAUAGUGAAGCUUACAUUUCAUUUUUAUUCAUCCAACUGAAUAGAUUACUUACUUGCUUAUAAAGUUGAUACAUAUUCUUAACUUGAGGGUGAUAGAAAUGAUGGAUGAUUGCACUCCAUAGUCGAAGAUUGAUCCUGGAAAAUAUGAUUUAAUUGGCAAGUGUGAUUUACCUCUUAAAUUGAAAAGUUAAAAGUUCAUUGACCUGGACACAAGCACCACAAUAAAAAGUGAAUUUUCUAUUGUAGGUGUUCUGUGGUAUAAGAAACUUCUCUGCUGAUGUUCGCAGGGCAACUUCAAACACGGCCAUCUCCACACCUCUGCUCUCUCUUCCUCUUCUCUUGUCAUCAGCUGCAUUCUAUUUUUUGCUGGUUUGAUAUGAGAAUGCUCUGACCUCUCCUUAACUGUUUAUGAGUACUUUGCAGAGGCCUCAUGCUUCCACGAGAACUAAGUUCAUAUGUGCUGAAAAAUUGAGUUCUUAAAAAACACAACAGAGAAGCCUCAUCUUAUUCCGAGAAAUGUUUAUAAUAAUGGUGAGAUGAGGCAUCAACUUUCAUCAAAUUGUGCAAUUCCUUCUGUCACUUUUCAAGCUGUUUUUUGUUUGGUUUUGCAGCGAGUAGAGGAUUUGAACUUAACAUACUGAAUAAAGAACAGAUUCAUAUAAAUGCAAGUUUUUGGUGUAUAAGAUACCGAUAAAGAUAAACAAGCUAUUUCCAGCAGCCAAUGUAGUGUUUCAUGCACCACAUACCUCUGCUAGGAUCAGUACAAUGCUUCACACCUACCAAGUAAAAAUAAGAUCUACUCUAUAUGCUAGGAUGCAGAGGAAUUUUCAAAAAUACAAGUCUAAAGAAUGUUGGUUACGACAUAUAUGAAAAUUUUACACGGCGAAAAGUCGUAUAAAUUUAUUUAUUUUAAAAAAAUGCAAACAAUGAUACAACAUGAUCCUCGUGUAUUGUAGAAAAAUUAUGGACAGGAGCUUUUGAGACUAUUAGCCGUGAAAAUAAAUCUUGUGCUUCAACAAGUGAGAGAGUUUGAGAUCUUAUAUUUAUUUGGACAUAUCUUUGCAUCAAUAUAUCUGUAAAUAUGUAAUCAAAUAACUAUGCAAAUCAUUCAAAUAGAUCAAUUUAAC